GCUCCCGUGGCGAAAUGGCAGACGCGUACGGUUUAGGACCGUAUUCCUUACGGAGUAGAAGUUCGACUCUUCUCGGGAGCA
rnacentral:tRNA from 5 species